rnacentral:lncRNA from 1 species
CAAACUCUCAAAUAAUUUUCAAAAUUCCAAUUUUUUUCAAAUUUAAUUUCUAAAAUUCUCAUUCUUACAUUUAAUUCCUAAAAAUCUAAUUUUCAAAUAAUCUCUAAAAUUCCAAUUUUCAAAUAAUCUCUAAUACUCCAAUUUUCAAAUAAAUUUCAAAAAUCCAGUCUUCCCUCGAACAAUUUUAAUUUCUGUUUGGUGAUGCACGUGAUAUGUUUUGUGUUCUUU